UGCGUAGGAUUGACACAUGUGGAUGCUGAUCUAUUUGUUUCCCUGCUGAGGAAUACUGUAAGAUGAGAAGGGCAUGUUAAAUGAAAAGGGAAUGGGGAGACAAGAAAAGCCACAUGGUCAGGAUUGUUUUCCAGUGGUGUGGUUCAACUGAGUCAUCUGUCUGUGAGUUUGAGUGCACAAGGCACAUACCAGCCACCCACCUCUACUCUAGCAGAGGCUCUUCCUGCCAAUUUUUGACGAUACCAUUUAGAUUCACAAAAACAGAUAUGUGUAAUUGGCAGUUUUUCUUUUUUUAAAAAAAAUCCAAAACAUUAUUAGCAUUUUUUUAAAGCACGUACAGGGAUUAUUGUGUUAUCUAUAGCAGAAUUGUGCUUCCUCACACUAGUGAAGGGAUAUACAACAGUGGUGGGUCUACAGCCUUAUGGAACUGUCCAGAGGAUACACAAAAUGCCAGAUGAGAGGGAGGAGAAGGAAGGAAGGAAAUGGCCUGAAGUGGAACCCUGCAAUGUAUUUAUAAACUGAGUUCUUUCUUCUGGAGGCUUUCAAGAGAGGCUGGCCAGAAAAAUGGUGAUCUGUGGAAUCAGGAGUGACUGACAGAAACAAAACCAGCUCUGGCAGUCUUGAAGAUGGAAUGAGGAAGCAAGUGGAGAAUCUUCAGAUGUUGUUGGACUAUGGCUCCAACAAAGUGGCGUAACUAGGGAUAGUUCAACUACAUCAACAACAUUCCAUAACUCAUUGUGGGAGAAAGGCAGGCUAUAAAUCCUUGAAACAACAACAACAACAACAACUCAGAAGC